CAUGCGCGCAGUUCCGCCGCCGGCGGCCGGGGCCUAUGUACCAAUGGCUGCUGGCGGCCCUCGGCGCCCUCUUCCCCGCCGCCCGCCGUCCUGCGCCGCCCCCGGUCCCGGCCGCGGCCCCGGCCCCUCCGCCGCCUCGCAAGAGGCCGCUCCACAGCGCUCAGCCACCUCUGGAAGAUCCUGACCAGACUCGACCAAAAAAGCAAAAAACAGGUUGCGCCACCUCUGAGCCUACAGAGAAAGUUGAAGAAGUUUCUGCUGUGGCGAAGGUGCCGGCUGAAGCAACAAACGAGCACUGGAAAGCUUCAGUCAGCAAUGCAGCUCCAAUCACAGAGCCCACAGAAGAGACUCAGUCCACUUCGUCUGACCCUUUGUCUAAAAGACCAGCAAGUUCUGCGCUAGAAGUAGAAAUGCUACAGAUUGAUAAAAUGCCUUGUGGAACCAACGCUUGCUUGAAUAAUGAAACACUAUCCCUUUCUCACAAGACAAUUCCCUGUUUGAGCACUAGCAGGAAUGGCAACCACCAUGUCAAAACUACUCCAGAAGACACCGUAACACUCAGGCCACCCAUUAAGGAGCACACUACGCCAGAGUCUGCAACUUCAGAAGUCAGCAAAAUGGGGAGGCCUUUUUGUACUGUGGAAGAGGAUGUUCUGAGAGGCGAAAAGGAGAAAUACAAACAGCUCUUGAAACUAGUAAAGGAAAAAUAUCCUAGAAGCCGCUCUAUCUCACAGCCGACAAGCUUCUGCAAUGUUCAGGCUUACUCCAAGGAACCAGUGAUGGCUGCAAGUCACCUGGAUGAACAAAAACGUGGAGGAGAUGUCUGUCAAUAUAUGACACUAAGAACCAAUAGCAAACGUGCAGACAGCUGCAGCACACACUGGUCUCCAAGAAGCGAUAUAAUCAGAUACUACACACCAGCAGAAAAUUCUCAUGAACAGGGAAGACCAGUGAAACAAGCCAGUUCAGGGAGACAGUGUGGAGCUGAAAUCUCAGAAGAGGUGUCAUUUCGAUUGCGUUUGGCACCUGUUUUGUCCAGAAGGCCAUCUGCCCUUGAUGUGGAAGAAAAGAAAUUCCCAAGAUCAGAAAAAAGAGUAGAACACUUUUCUCCACUCACAGAGGCCAUGGAGAGAGAGGUCACUGCUGCGUUUGGCAAAGGCAAGCCAGACGAGAUCAUGAGCAGUGCCUUCAAACUGAAGGUCACCCGUGAGGACAUCCACACACUGAAGAACCUUCACUGGCUAAAUGAUGAGAUCAUUAAUUUCUACAUGAAUCUUCUGGUGGAAAGAAAUAAAAAAGAAGGCUAUCCAGCAGCCUAUGCUUUUAGUACUUUUUUCUAUCCCAAACUUAUUUCUGGGGGCUACAAAGCAGUAAGAAGAUGGACCAGAGGUGUGGAUCUCUUCAAGCAGGACCUCAUCAUAGUCCCAAUUCACUUGACAGUGCACUGGGCACUAGUGGUCAUAGAUAUCAGAAGGAAAACCAUCACGUACUUCGACUCAGUGGCACAAAAAGGGGACAAGAUUUGUGAAACAUUAUUCCGGUACCUGCAAGAAGAAAGCCAGGAAAAACGAAAUUUGGAGCUAUCAUUUUCGGAGUGGAUUCUUCACAGCAUGGAGUCGCAUAUAGAAGAAAACUCUCCACCUUCUUUGCGUUCAUUAGGAAAUCCCUCAGCAAUUGAAUGGAAGUGACUGCGGGGUUUUUAUAUGCAAAUACGCAGAUUACAUCUCCAGAGACAAACCCAUGACCUUCACACAGAAUCACAUGCCUUACUUCCGGAGGAAGAUGGUGUGGGAAAUAAUCCAUCAGCAGCUGCUGUGAGACAUGCACUAUUCGAGUAACACUGUGAUCACCUUGGGGUGACUAACUUUUAUUUUAAUUACUUUUGUAAUGCCUUAUUUAAAAAGGCAGCAGGCACACAAAUUUUCCUCUUUAGGCUAUGAAGUAGCGGUUAUUUUUUUCUUGAUUUUGGAGACAGUAACUCUCUUUGAAAUUAGCUAAUGCACGUUGUGUGCAAGUCAGAAAAUUUGCUGUGACCUCGCCAGGGGAGCGGCUAAGAACAAAGGCUGUGAACCUCUGUCACUGGGGUGGAAGGCUCACACCUUGCAGCACACGUGGCUGCGUUAUGGACAAAUGGGACUCUUGAGCAUGGUGGUAACUGUUGUGUUAGUCCAACUGAUCUCCCCCAGGACAAUGUGCAUGGCUACUGUUUCUUCAAGGAGAGCUUUCUUCUGUUUCUGGAAUAUCUAUGAUCUACUUGAUUCCUAAAACUGGAUUUGUGAUGACCAUAGAAAAAAAAAAAGAAGUAUUUACAAUCUUUUGAUUUGUAACAAAUCCGUAGUGAAGCCCCUGUAGUUGGGGUGGUUUUGUUUUUGUUUUGUCUCCAGAGAAUUAUCUAAUGUGAAGAGAGAGGUAUUUAUUUCUUUUCUUUAUUAAAAUAAAUAUGUAACUUAUAUAAAGAGCCUUUCUGGAAAGAAACUCUACUUGGUAAUGAAAUAGUGAUAUAUUUUUUUUCCUGAAGGGGCUGUGAGAAUGUCAUUCAGCAGGGAGAUGAGGAACCAGAACCCCAGUACUCUCAGUGAGACAAAGCAGCCUGUGCACAGCAGGGGCUGUCCAGUACUGAAUCUGUUUUAACACAAGUCUCUCCACACGGUACUGCAGAUUGCUACUGCUGAAUGAAAGGUGCUCCGCAGCUGCUGGUGCCGAUGUGCUGGGUUCGGGAUGGGUCCAGCCAGACGGGUGGUGGUGCUGGAACGUGUCACAGCCUUACUGCCCCUCUGCCGCUGGUGCUGCCUCCACACGCCUGCUGAGUCAAGUGUCUGGGUGACUUCUGCUCAGACUCCUUGCAGCCAGGCUGAGCCAGGUUAGUUUAGGUGAGCCGAAGUCAUUUUGCCCUUUCUUUUGUUUCCCUCCCCAGCUUACACUCCAGAACUGGCAUGAGUUUGGGGUCUUUCAGUUCCCCAUUUGCUAUUGCAGAGGAAAGGCUGGCGUGUAGCUGGCAUGCAAAGCAGUUGUCUGAACGCUGGUAUAAAUAACCACGUCUGGUUGUUUCUGUAAUGUUAGAUGGCACAGUCAUCGUAAUGUGAAGUGAUUCCUGGCUGGUGACGAGGUGUUUCCUCUCCUCAGCUCCGGGGCAGAUGCUGAUUUCUGGGACAUCCCCUGUCCUUGCUCAGCUUUCAUGCUGCUGCUACUCACCAGAGGAGCUGCUCUCCUGGGAGAGCUGCUGAGUUGGUUUAUCUGUGUUGUGGGGCAGGAGCUGGCUCAGUCUUUGCUUUCAAACUGAUUAGCUUAAUCCGUCACAAAAUCAGAGGAGAUCCUCUGAAGAGACAACUAUUACAAAGGCAAUCUGUCGUGUUUUGUCCUUACAUGAGAUAUUUAAUCCCCCCUGGAUUCCCUGAGGACUUGGAAGAUUUCAGCUGUUGAUUAACGUUAGGGCCUGGUAGCUGAAUGCUUCAAGUAUCCUUUGUGUUAGCUUCACCUCCUGACAUGUGGCAAACAUAAUUUGGAGGCUGACCCUGUAGUCUUCUGCUUAUGGAAGCAGAAAUUUGCUUUGGAAAAAAAAAAAAGUGACGACAAAACAACCCCCACAGAAGGACUGGUGGUGGAAGUGUGAUAUGAGGGUGCUUUCCAAGUCCUCCUCGUAAGUGCCCCUUAAGGAAGAGGCGGCUCACACGUUAGAUGGAAGCAGCAGCGUGGUGCUGGAGGGGCGGGCAGCUGGUGCAUUCCCAGUAAGAACUGCAAAGCACCCCUGAAGGGUGCUGGAAGCCUCACCAAGAGCUGACUGUGCUGGGCACUUAGAAAUAGCGUGUGUCUGUGGCUGUCGAAAGCCUCAUUCUGUGAGGUCAUGGAGAAAACCGUGUGCGUCCCGCUGAAUGCCCCCUCUGUCUGCGAGGUCAUCCCAUGGGAUGUGGACCUUCAGCUGUGGCUUGGUUCCUUAUGCCCUUAUAAGAUGUUCUGAGGACAUCCCAGGGUGAGAAAUCAUCCCUUAAGUCUUCCAGUGCUGACUCGAGAGCACGCCGCAGGCCUGCGCCACAGCGUGAGUAAUGCUGUGCGCUCCCUGGGCAGGGAGGAGGGAGAGGGGGGCUGCUCUGCGUCCUGCUUCGUGCGCUUCUGGUGCCGUCAGCUGCCUGCUGACGUGCUCCUUACUCACAGGAAGGCGGCUGGGGGGCUCAGACAGCACGUCUGGAUCAAACCCGUCCUUGAAAACAUUGGUGAGCAUGGCUCUGCCCCAGAGCCCAGCAGUCAGGGCAGGAGCAGUCGUUCCUGGCUGUCUGGGGCUGGGGGCGUGGGGGCAGAGCACCCAUUGGAACCGACCCGCUUUGGGUGAGUGCUUCUGCAGCACCAGACUGUAGGCGGAGGGGGGAACUUUCUGUUCCCUGCACCUUCACCAAGGAUGGAGGUGUGACAAGGGAGCUGCUUUGAGCUGGAGGGAAGGAGCCUGAUCCCUCACUGCUGUGUGAGUCAGGUCGUUUAAUUCUCUUUAGCACCCGCCUCCAUGCCCUUGUAUUACCACCACCACCCCAAACUAAAACCCAAAUACACAGCCCCAGUCUGGGCGUGAAACCUGGCCCAGGGUGAGGCUGCUGCAGCCCCAGAGGGGGAUGUGGGAGGUUGGGGCUGGUCCCAAGCCUCUUGGGUCAACUUCAAGCCCCAAGGCCAGCACUGAAGGUGCUGUGCACUGGAGAUGGUGGAGGAUGGGACAUGGACCCACGAAACCCCCCCCACACUUUUGUCAUCAGCACAUCCCUGCUGCUGGAUUUAAAACAAAAGAUUAAAAAAAUAGAAAAACACCCCCAAAAGAGCCCUCACCCUCUUGUUUAUCCCACCCUUCCCAGCCAGGCACCUGCUGCCCACCCCGCUCUCAGCACAGCCAUGACCACCACAGGGCACUGGAAAGAAAGCAACGGAGAGCAAGCUCAGGCUCUUGUUAGCUGGAUAUAUUUUUGUUUGUUUGUUGUCGUUGGCUUUUUUCACAGAACACUUUGCAGUAGACAAAAACUGGCAUUGCAGUCUGUCAGUACGUCGCUGGCACGGGCUCAGCCUUCAGCACCUUGCUGGGCUCGGGUGGUCGGCCCUGGUCCUUUCUCUUGCUGGUUGGACUUCAUUGCUGUUGUUCUUUUAUUUUUUUUUUCUUUUACCUGUUUUGUGUUUUUUUUUUCCUUUUUUUUUUUUCUUUUUUAAACAUUUCUCAAGCUUUCUCCGAAGGAACGGCCACUGGCUCUCAGCUAGCAGGAGACUACAGAAGAGCUCUCGGACGCGUGGGCUGGUUUCCUCCUCCCGCCUCGCAGCUGACUUGGUCGAGAUCGUUUUCCAACUCGUUUUUAUUACAAAAAUAAAAAAAUGCUCCAACUAUCAGUUUUACAAGGCAUACAAAAAUCUCUAAAAGGGAAACACAAGCGCAAGGUGCUGAGGUACGAAAACCUGAGGUAGUUUUUUUGUGUGUGUGUUUGUGUGUGUGUGUGUGUGUACGCAUGUUGCAUUCUUGUAGAAACUUUUGCUAGGUUCUUUCUUCAAGCCCUGGGCCAACAACGUUUUGUAAAUCUUUUCCCCCCUUGUUUUUCUCUCCUCUCCCUCCAACACCAAAACUAAAAAAGGGGGGGAUUCGUCCCCAAAGAGCCACGGGGGAAGUUUGUUCUCUGCGGGCUGGACCAUGGGGCAGGCUGGUUUUUGGGGGGGUGCUAAGGUUGAGCACGGCUUUGUCUGGCGGUGAUGGAGAGAAAGACGGACAGAUGGACAGGGCGGGGGGCAGAACAGAUGCAAAACCCAGUUUUGGACUCUGUGAAGCAAAGAGGAAAGGGCGUGUGAAAGGGAGAGGGUCCUCCUCUAGGAGACGGUAUCCCUUCUGUUGGCUCACACAGGCACUCCCCAUGGCACUGCUCUUCUCAAAGCCCUUAAGAAAUCGCUUUUUAACACUUGGUUAAUUAUUUUUGUUCCUGCUGGCAAUCCUACAACUCUGCUCUACUGUGCAUUAGAGAACCAAUGGACUAGCUCCUUUCCUUAAAAGUCUAAAAAAGCCUGCUUUUGCUAAAAACAAACAUCGCGUGACCCCUCUGAAAUUAAAAAAAAAAAAAAAAUU